AGAGUUUGAUCCUGGCUCAGGAUGAACGCUGGCGGUAUGCCUAAUACAUGCAAGUCGUGCGGAAAGGCCUCUUCGGAGGUACUCGAGCGGCGGACGGCAGAGUAACGCGUAGGAACAUACCCCAAACUGAGGGAUAACUGCUCGAAAGAGUAGCUAAUACCGCAUGUGGUCUUCGGACUAAAGCUUCGGCGGUUUGGGAAUGGCCUGCGUUCGAUUAGCUAGUUGGUGAGGUAAUUGCUCACCAAGGCGACGAUCGAUAGCUGGUCUGAGAGGAUGAUCAGCCUGACUGGAACUGAGACACGGUCCAGACUCCUACGGGAGGCAGCAGUAGGGAAUCUUCCACAAUGGGCGAAAGCCUGAUGGAGCAAUACCGCGUGCAGGAUGAAGGCCUUCGGGUCGUAAACUGCUUUUAUGUGAGAAGAAUUUGACGGUAACACAUGAAUAAGGGUCGGCUAACUACGUG
rnacentral:rRNA from 1 species